UCUGAGGAUGGUCAGUUAAUGGCAAGUGGGAGAAGAGAGUUCUAAGCAGAGGCCUGGGGGGAGGAGGAGGCAUUUUGCCUAUUUGCUCCAUUCCCUAACACUCUGAGAGGCACAGGGGAAGGUCUCCACUGUUAGAUGACUGAACGGGGGCCAGUCUUGUCCUCAUUAGCUCUUUGUUGCUGUGAGGUACACUGACCACAACUAACAGAAAAACCGUAACAGCAGGUUUAUGUGUUUGACAAGUACUAGUGCAUUAUGGAGUAAGCCAAGGAAGGAACCCAGGCAGGAGUGAAGGAGAGAGCUAGGAUUAAAGGUAUGGAUUACGCUGGAGUAGGGGAGUGGGGGUGGUAGGUGUGCUGGUUUGAAUAGGUCUGAUCCCCACAGACUCAGAUGUUUGAAUGGUUGGCCACAGGGAGUGGCACUAUUAAGGGGUGUGGACUUGUUGGAAUAGGUGUGGUCUUGUUGGAGAAAGUGUGUCACUGUGGAGGUGGGCUGUGAGAUUAUAUAUGCUCAAACUAAGCCUACUGUGAGAGACAGUCUCCUUCUGCUACCUGUGGAUCAAGAUGUGGACCUCUCAGCUCCUCCAGCACCAUGUCUGCCCGGAUGCCUCCAUGCUUCCUGUCAUGAUGAAAAUGGACUAAACUUCUGGAACCCCCUGAGAACUCAGUGGAGGAAGACGAAGCUCAUUUUCCAGAUACUGAUUCCAUAUGGGCUGCCAACCACUCCAAACAACAAAGCUAAGGGGAGCCCAGGCAGACUCGGAAUCUGCCAUUUAAAAGAUCUGCAGGACUAGGAAAUGACCCUAGAGGAGAGACAGCGUUGACAGCUCCCGUGGCCUCUUUUAAAUCACAGGACACCAACAACAAUCAAUCAUAAGAGAAAAAAAAUGAUCUGGGAGAAGAAAUAAUUUCUGGUUCCUCUAAUACAGCCUGAUUUAAAGGAGACUUCUGUUGUACAGCAGGCUACGGAUGAGAUCUGCUUCCUUUAAUGAGAUACUUAUUUAAUAAUGCUUUCUUUUCCUCAUCUACCACACUGAAAUAGUUACAUAAAACCCAAGCCACUUAAAUUGCUCUACUGGAAAGUUUUUUGUUUGAAUUAUAGGAGGGGGAAAUACUUUAUUGCUCUCUGCUUUUUUUUUUUUUUUUUUUCAGAGCUGGGAACCGAACCCAGGGCCUUUCGUUUGCUAGGCAAGCGCUCUACCACUGAGCUAAAUCCCCAACCCCGGAGGAAAUACUUUAAAGCAUCAGUCCUCACAGAUCAGUGCACUUCUUAACCCUCACUGAGAAGCUUCUAGCUACAGUGGGUGGUGACUGGCCAAAGGGCAGAGAACAGGAGACUGACUAUAAUGUUCGUCCAUCCCUCAGUGGAACAGAGCCCACUCUCCCCUCCCCAACGGCCCAGUGACCAUCGAGGAAGAGGGGGAGAAAGAGUCUGAGUCAGAGGCAGUAGAUGAGUAGAUGAUCAUCAAGAACAGGUCUCUUCUAUACCCAGUGGGCAGCAGCACGCUAAGGUCCUGUGUAAGCUCAGACCAGACCAAACCCCAGCAUGGGGGGGGGGGGGGGGGGCUGGCCUGGGCACAGAAUCGCGCACGCUGGCAUGUGUUAGAUGCUGGGAGAGAAGGGAUCUUCUCCAGCGGAUGACCACACAGCCAAGAGUAUUUGGGCAGCACAAAUUAGUUUUGUUGUUUUUUGUUUCUGAAGUGGGAUGGAUCUGAAAGGACGGGUAGAUCUGGGAGAGGGAUGAAUAUAAUAAAAACUCACUGUAUGAAACUCUUAAAGAAUAUGGGAUAAAAGCACCAUAUAAGUAGAGGGCGGUUUGGACUGGGGCAAAGGCUGAGUGGUAGGUGCCGGCCUUGCUAUUCUCAAACAUGUAGGUCUGAUCACUAUACACAUACCACACAGUAAAAAGAACAGUUUUACUAUGGUCCUGCAGUAAGAGAAGAAAAUGGAAUAAAAAAUUUCUCUGCAAAUGGAGUCAAAAUUCAAAUAAAAACUCCAAGUCAUAGAAGCCCCUCUGCAGACUCUACUUCUCUGCCUCGGCUUCUUUUCUCGCUUCUGGUUCUCAUUUGCUCAGUAAGAGUUAACUGUGAGUUAGAGGAAUGUUGUUUCAGCUUUACAGAAUGCUUCUAAGGACAGGGUCAGUGCAAGGACCAGAUUCUUCAUGAACUCGUUAACAGGACGGCUCACUGUGGCCUCAGGGUUCAUCAGCAGCAGGAAAAGCUCCACUGGUAAUGGCUAGUUGUUUCCUGUACAUCUCAGAACGCACAGCAGAGCCAUGGUCUCUAUUGUGAGUCUGCUUCCUGACUGGGAAGGAAAGAAAAUACUUUCAUGAUGACUAUUCUUUUCUUAGGCUGGUGUUACAUUUGGCCAAAAGACAUCAUGAGCAAGGACAGGGCUUCUGCCCCAGGCACUGUCUAAUGCCCCCCUUUCCAUUUAACUGUGCUCUGAUGAUGCUUGCUUACUUCACUGGUUUUUAAUGAUUUUUGUGUCCAUACUGACAGUUAUCAUUAGGACAGUUUUGCAGUAAUUGCCUCCUUUUGACCUGUAGAGCCUGGCAUCGGCUACUCUUCUCGCUUGCCAUCCUUGACCUCCCGUUCCUACUCCCAAGUGAGAUUCAAAGCUUUCCUGUGACAUUCAGAAAGCUUUGUUGUACAAUGUCGAACCUCAGCACCUAAUCUGAGAAAACCAUUCAAGAUUACCAUGCUGUCAAGAUUACCAUGCUGUCAAGAUUACCAUGCUGUCAAGAGAAAGCCAGGCGGUUCUCUCUGAAGCAAGAGACUGGUGGAUUGACAGAGGGAUCCAAAACACAACUCUUAGACAAGCCUCUCAGUGAUGGACAUGAGACAGAGUGUACUCAGCAUGGUGCUGACACAACCACAGGCAGGAAGGUUUCUCUCAACUUUAUAUCCAUAGCAGUUGGGCAGGAAAUGGGGACAGGGUGGUUGUGGGAAAACUGACCCACAAUACCCAUACUUUUCAUAGCUUUGAACUCAGCACCUCUGAAGAAGGCAGAGCUCUGUUCCUCUUCCUGCUUUCAUUUACUCUCACUGCUAAGAUCCUCUUUGCAUGCUGGGUUCAUGUUUUUCUCCAAUAAAAAGGCACCAUGCAUGGAUCCAUGCCAACAGCUCUGGUUGGAAGAAUCAACUGUUCCAAUCUCGUAUCUCUGUUUGGUUCUUGACCUUGCUGAGGUCCAUUUCCCUACGAAAAAGUCAGCUCCCACAGUCUGUUUCACACCUAAAGCCCCAAGGCUUUUACCCGAUAGACAUUUUAGCUUAGAGCUUUAAGAUGUCUGUCAUUGGUCUGCACAGAAGGAAACACCACCCCUGCCACACCCCAAGCAUAACAGUACAGUAAUAGGAGAGGAAGAUCAGGUUCCUACUGUGGAUGACUUGAGGUGGAGCAACAUGGAUUACAAGGACUGAGGUUCAAUAACCUUAAAACAAUGGCUCCGGUGUGGACCUUUGGCCUUCAUGAUAAUCGCCUGUGAGGACCUGGCCUAGUCAAAGUGUGCUGCAUAUUCAGGGUUUGCUAUUACAGGCCUGAGAUCAAUGCUGAAGGUCAGGAGACUACGUCCUGGCUCUGACAGGAAAGAAACAGGUGAACAGAGACAGAAAGGCAAACUGCUUAGCCUCAGGCUCGGUCAACUUGACAAACCUCUCAGGGAACCAUCCACUGCACGUCAUACAGACUGAAAGAGAGGAUGCGGAAAGCCACAACUACACAAUCUACAAUAGUCAGAUUUUGACUUUCCAAAGUAGCUCUAAAAACUUCACCAAAAAAGAGUCAACACUCCUGCAAGAGAGUCUAUGCCACCCACUCCCACUCUGGAAGCAAACCUUUACUCCUCUCUGCUCCACUGCUUAAAAAGGCGCUGUGAGUUCUGUCAGUCAGCGGCCUCCCUACCCUGAGAGAUGACUUGGUUUGUCUUGGGAAAGUGCAUACGGCCUCCUCUCCUUUCAUCUGACAGUGGUCAGAACCAAGUACUGACUUGAGUUACGGUCUCACUGCAUAGCUCAGGAUGACUUCACUCUUACAGAAAUUCCCUGCCUCAGCCUCCCAAAUGCUGUGCUCACAGACAUGGACCACUACACAAAGCAUUAUAUCUUUAUUACAAAUAGAAAACUGAAUAAUAAAAAAAGGAAGCUAGUGAACAGAGACCCUGUUACAACUGGUGAAGACCCAGAAGAUCUGGCAACUUACUACAAGACAAAACUCAUGGACCCUAGAAGAGUGGACGGCUUUCGAAUGAGGUAGACGAGCGAGGAGUGGCAGGAAUGGACAUCCUGUCGUGCUCUCAUCUCACUGGAGGUACCGCAUUUCUCACAGUACGUAUGCUGGAGAUGCGACUUUCCUACACAGGCCUUAUCAGGGUGUUCCGAGGUUGUUGAAAGUUUAUCUGCUUACUGGUUGUAAUGACCAUUAAUGGUAAUAAUUACAAACUACUUUUCGGCACCUUUGUGCACCUCUGUGGUUGUUUUAAUUUCUCACAGGAAUAGUGAGUGGAAUUAUGGGGAACAUGGUAUCUGUGCUGGCUAGUUUAACGUUAAUUUGACACAGGCUAGAGUCAUCUGAGAGAAGAGAGCCCCAAUUAAGAAAAGGCCUCCAUAGACUGGUCCACAGGCAAGCCGCUGGAGGAUUUUCUUAAGGAGUGACUGUUAGAGGAGGACUUAGUCCAUUGCGUGUGGUGCCACUUCUAGGCAGGCAGUUCUUGGUUCUAAAAGAAAGCAGGCUGAGCAAGCCAUGAGGAGCAAGACUCAAAGCAACUCCGGCCUUCAAGUUCAAACCCUGCAUGAGUCCCUGUCGUGACUUCCCUCAGUGAUGGAAAGUUGCCUGGAAUCGUAAGCUGAAAUAAACCCUUUCCUCUCCAAAUUACAUUGGUCACAGUGUUUCAUCACAUCAAUAGUGACCCUAACUGUAUAGUAACUAUUUUUUUGAGAAACUGUCAACUUCCUUCCUAAAAGGCUGCAAAGCACAUCAUAUACAAUAAGGGUCUCAGUAUCUCCACUCUAAGGCUAACUCUUAUUAUGCUCAGCGUUUUGUUAUUGUUGUUCUGGUUUUUUGUUUUGUUUUAUUUUGUUUUUGAGAAACAGCCUCUCUGCAGUGCACACUGACCUGAAACACAAUCCUCCUGCCUCAGGCUACGGAACAUUGGGAUAACAAGUGAUGAACCCAACCACCACUACUGGCUCAUCUUUAAAAAAAAUUAUUUACUUUUUAUUUUAUUUUACAUGGGUGCUUUGCCACAUACACAUCUAUGCACCACAAAAGUACCUGGUGCCUGGUGGGGCCAGAAAAAGGUACAGAUGUUGAGAAUUGCUAUACGGGUUCUGGGAAUCCAACCCAGGUCCUCUGGAAGAGGACCUUUUAACCUGUAAGCCCCCCAAUUAUUAUAUGAGCUAUCCUGGUGGGAGUGACGUGGAAUAUCAUUGUGGUUUGAUCUGCAUUUCCCUAAUUAAUUAUAUAUAGCAAGCUCUUUAAGUAAAUAUUAUCUUAACUGGCCAGAUUUUAAGUACCAGAUAACCUUGAAUCCCACUGAAAUUCUUGCCAGAAACCACAAGAACACACAGUGUAAGUCUGUUCACUGCAGGACUUUAUGCUGUCACAGAGAUGAGAAAUGGAUCCAAGUUUAACAAGGAAAGUUACCCAAAUACCACAACUACCUUGGUUGCCAAACAACCGGUAAGAAAACUUGUAAGUGGAUGAUCACUGACUCCAGGGUAUGUGAAUGGAAACCAAAUGGGGGGAGCUCUCUGGUACAAGAAGUUUCAUCUGUGGAAGCAAAUAUAGCCGUGCUUAUGUAGAAACAAAGCCAUCUUUCUCUAUAGCCAAUGAGCCUAAUUUGUAUCCAAUAGUGAAUUACAAAGAUAAAGAAGGGAAAAGCCCUUCCACAGUCACCAGCACAUCUCUAGUAAAAUACACUUCAAGGACAAACAGAACCAAAAAUAAUAGAUAGCCAACACUGACUUAUCAUACAGGCAAUGAUGGUGACGCUGUCUGUCACUCUGAGGGUGAGUGUCCUGAGAUAACGUAGAUGUGUAUCUAGAUCUUGCACCCCUCCUGCUGUUCUUCCUGGGUUAAGGAGGAAGAAGACUCCUUCUUCCAAACUUGGUUUAGAAAAGCCAGACUGGGGGGCGGGGGGGGGGGAUGAGAAAAAUAGUUCAGCGGUUAGGAGCACUGACUACUCUUCCAGAGGUCCUGAGUUCAAAUCCCAGCAAUCACAUGGUGGCUCACAACCAUCUGUAAUGGGAUCCGAUGCCCUCUUCUGGUGUGUCUGAAGACAGCUACAGUGUACUCAUAUAAAUAAAAAUAAAUUAAAAAAAAAAAAAAAAAAAGGUGCCAGACUGCCUUCACAGUCACAAAAUAAAAAACAAAGCCAGGGGUGGUAUUUUUUCAGUCAAUUGAAAAGCCCUAGAAGUAAAACCAACUAGGAAACAGCUUCUUAUCCCUAUUGUCUCGAGAUUUUCCUACUAAAAGGAGCCGGGGUGUUCAGUGACUCUCUAGAGAAAGAGGAUUUAUCAGAAUGGCUCACAGGCAGUGGUCUACCCGGCUCAGCAAUGGCUGCCCACCAAUGGAAGGUCAAAGAGAACAGUAGCUGCUUGGUCCACAAAGCUGGAAGUCUCCACUGGUCUUCAGUCUAUCACAGAAUCCCAAAGACAUAGGCUCUAAGGUCAGGAAAGGAACAGACUUGCCAGUGACAGCAAGCAGGCAGACAGAGCUAGUGUCCUUCUUCCAUGUCCUUCAGAUAAGCUGCCAGCAGCCCGUGGGGCCCACAUUAAAGGUGGAUCUUUCCACCUCAAAAGGUCUACAUUAAAAGUGGGUCUUCUACCCUCAAAUGAUUUAAUUAAGGGGGAAAAAUCCCUCACAGGUGUACUCAGCCACCUGAGUCUUAGCUAAUUUUAGAUAUAGUCAAGCUGACAACCACCACAAGCAGAAAAUGCACAAAAUGGGUCUUGAUUACUUGGCCACGCCAGAAAAAAUGGCAGCUGUCAAAGGGCAUGUGAACUUAUAUGAAGUAAUGAUAGACAAAGAUGAAAAAUGUGCAAAUCGGUAAAGAUGGGAACUACAAUAAACUGAAAUAACACCAAGUAUUCAUUACAUUCACAGUUUCAAAAAAUGACAAUCAGAAUCUGAAAAAUAAUGUAAUGGCUUCAUGAUACAAAUACUUAACCAGUCACUAUUGAAAAAUGUUAAUAACUGAGUCAGUCUGCAAACACGUAAAUAAAUAAAAACAUUUACUUUUCAUAUAUGAACUAAAGAGAAAUUUUGUUAGUCUUUGAUUAUUACUUACAAUACUUAUAAAGACAUCAAUUUCUCCUCCUCCCUCAGCAUUUUCCAAUCAUGACCAGAUUUAGAACCAUCAGCAGCUACUAAUAUCACAAAACACUUUUUUUUUUCCCUUUUCUUUUUUUCCGGAGCUGGGGACCACAAAACACUUUUAAAAUUGAAACAAAAAUUUAAAUUUUGUGGGUUUCCUAGUACCAAAAUUUUAUUCAACAUUUUUAAUACCGAGCAUGAUACAGUCUUGGUAAUAAAAAAGUAAUUCAGCGAGGGGUGGUAGCACUUUUGUUCCUGGCACUGGGGGAGCAGAGAUAGAGCUGUGUAAGCUGGUCUACACAGUGAGUUCUAGGCUAGCCAAGGCUACACAGUGAGACUCAGUCCCCAAAACAAGUAACAAACAUUUAUAUAUGUAUAUAUGCUCAGAUAUAUAUAUGAGAUUUAAUCAAGUCUCUAGAUCCAAUUCCCAAUCUGUAAGAAACACAAAGGUCAGAGAAACAUUAAAUGUCACCAUGAAGUCAGGUGGGUGCACAUGCCUGUAACACUAGCACUUGGAGGUUGAAGACUGGAGGUCCAGAUAUUCAAGGCCAGCCUGGGCUACCCAAGAUUCUGUCGGGAAAAAAAAAAAGCCUUUCUCUGAGAAUGUAUCCAACAAAAUCUAGGAUAUGGGAGAUGCCAUGGGAUAAGCACAAUCUAGUUUCUUCAACAUAUACAGUCCAGGUGUAAAUAAAUAAAUAUUCACUAAGGCUCAAAGGCACGGAGACUACCAACACUACCUUUAAUGGGCAGAAUUGGAUCCAAGUAACUGCAGAGCCAGUGAACACCAGACAACAACGGGCUCUCUGACCAUGAUGGGAUGCCUGCAGCAGAACAAAGUCCCCUGGUCCAGGCUGGUCUCACACCUGCUCUCUAGCUGAGGAUGACCUGAAUGACCUCCUGACCCGACUCUAUUUGCCAAGUGCUAGAAUUAUAGGAUGUGGCAUAAAACUAACUUAAUUUUUACAUACUGAAGCUGAGUAAAAAUAAAUAAAUAAGUGAAUAAGAAAGGCCUGUGAAAUAAUGAUUUUAAAAGUCGUUAGGAGGGUUUUGGCUUCUUUCCCGAGAGCUUUGUAUCAUUUACUGAACUCUCUGCUCUGUGCCUUUCAGAGAACAGAAAAGACUAUCUGUAACUGAAAUAGAACGCUUAUCCGCUCUGCUUCCAGUAUUAUUAUGUUUAAAAGGAUUUCUGCAGAAAUUAUCAUAAGGAAUCUUAAUGAUACCACCCAUGUCUCCCCUGAAACAGGUGCAGUCCCCUCAUACCAACAUCACAACAGGAAAUAAGCUGGACUGCUGGGGCGAACACAGUAUUUCCCGCUGAGGGAGUAUUUUAGGAUUUACAACCUUUAUGUAUUUUCUAGUUCUCAAAAUGAAUGACAUCCACACAGGGGAAAGCCCUUCACUUAGAAAAUGGACAAAAGCAUCCUCACUCCAGGAAUGCCCAAUACCCCCCACGCUGAUGGUUGUUCUUCUUCCAACAUGGCAGCCAUGAUCAGUUAUAGGGUACCAGGAUACUUAUCCGUCACCCUUGUCUCUCUGCCUUUGCCUCCUGCUCCCACCUCCUUGGAAAAAUGUCACGAUACAGUGGGAAGAAGAACCCCAGUUGUAAAGUCAGAUAAUCUGUCUCUUAAGACACUGAGCAAACUAAUACAACUGUAUGAACUUGUUUUUUUAGAUGUGUAGAAGUGGAUAAAACGGUUCCCUAGUCUUAGAGAUGAUGCAGAUUAGAAAGUCAUGAUAGGGUUAUGGGGACUGGAAAGACAGCCAGGGCUGAAGACUGUUUGCUGCUCUUGGAGAAGACUCAAUCCAGUUCCCAGCACCCAUGUACAGUGGCUCACAAUUGCUUGUAGCUCAACCUUCAGAGGAUCCAAUACCCUCUUCUGGACUAAUGGGGUACAUACAUCACGUGUAUAUACAGCCUCUCCCACCCCCCCCACACCUCAUUAAAAAAUAAAAAUAUUUUUAAAAAAAGCUAGGAGUUCACUAAGUAACUGUUACUUCUGUUCUCUUUGUGUCUGUCCUACUAAAAGAACAGAGAGCCAAGCUCUAUAGCCAUCACUACCUGAGGGGCGGCAAAGUGUCUCUGAGGAAAGGAAGAAUUGGUACCAUUUCAUUUUAAAAGAGUGACUGGCAGAUAAAACUAUACUCAUUCACAG